rnacentral:rRNA from 1 species
ACUCCUACGGGAGGCAGCAGUAGGGAAUUUUCGGCAAUGGGGGAAACCCUGACCGAGCAACGCCGCGUGAAGGAAGAAGGUUUUCGGAUUGUAAACUUCUGUUAUAAAGGAAGAACGGCGGCUACAGGAAAUGGUAGCCGAGGACGG